rnacentral:rRNA from 1 species
UACGAAGGGGGCUAGCGUUGCUCGGAAUCACUGGGCGUAAAGGGUGCGUAGGCGGGUCUUUUAAGUCAGGGGUGAAAUCCUGGAGCUCAACUCCAGAACUGCCUUUGAUACUGAGGAUCUUGAGUCCGGGAGAGGUGAGUGGAACUGCGAGUGUAGAGGUGAAAUUCGUAGAUAUUCGCAAGAACACCAGUGGCGAAGGCGGCUCACUGGUCCGAUACUGACGCUGAGGUGCGAAAGCGUGGGGAGCAAACAGG